rnacentral:rRNA from 1 species
GGAAUUCCUGGUGUAGCGGUGAAAUGCGCAGAUAUCAGGAGGAACACCGGUGGCGAAGGCGGGUCUCUGGGCAGUAACUGACGCUGAGGAGCGAAAGCAUGGGUAGCGAACAGGAUUAGAUACCCUGGUAGUCCAUGCCGUAAACGGUGGGCGCUAGGUGUAGGGGGCUUCCACGUCUUCUGUGCCGUAGCUAACGCAUUAAGCGCCCCGCCUGGGGAGUACGGCCGCAAGGCUAAAACUCAAAGGAAUUGACGGGGGCCCGCACAAGCGGCGGAGCAUGUGGAUUAAUUCGAUGCAACGCGAAGAACCUUACCUGGGCUUGACAUACACUGGAUCGGGCUAGAGAUAGUCUUUCCCUUUGUGGCUGGUGUACAGGUGGUGCAUGGUUGUCGUCAGCUCGUGUCGUGAGAUGUUGGGUUAAGUCCCGCAACGAGCGCAACCCUUGUCUUAUGUUGCCAGCAUUUGGUUGGGGACUCAUGAGAGACUGCCGGGGUUAACUCGGAGGAAGGUGGGGAUGACGUCAAAUCAUCAUGCCCCUUAUGUCCAGGGCUUCACACAUGCUACAAUGGUCGGUACAACGCGCAGCGACACUGUGAGGUGGAGCGAAUCGCUGAAAGCCGGUCUUAGUUCGGAUUGGGGUCUGCAACUCGACCCCAUGAAGUCGGAGUCGCUAGUAAUCGCAGAUCAGCAACGCUGCGGUGAAUACGUUCCCGGGCCUUGUACACACCGCCCGUCACGUCAUGAAAGUUGGUAACACCCGAAGCCGGUGGCCCAAACUUGUUAGGGAGCCGUCGAAGGUGGGAUCGGCGAGAUCGGAAGAGCACACGUCUGAACUCCAGUCACA